GUGCCAGCCGCCGCGGUAAUACGGAGGGUGCAAGCGUUAAUCGGAAUUACUGGGCGUAAAGCGCACGCAGGCGGUUUGUUAAGUCAGAUGUGAAAUCCCCGGGCUCAACCUGGGAACUGCAUCUGAUACUGGCAAGCUUGAGUCUCGUAGAGGGGGGUAGAAUUCCAGGUGUAGCGGUGAAAUGCGUAGAGAUCUGGAGGAAUACCGGUGGCGAAGGCGGCCCCCUGGACGAAGACUGACGCUCAGGUGCGAAAGCGUGGGGAGCAAACAGGAUUAGAAACCCCCGUAGUCC
rnacentral:rRNA from 1 species